CCUACGGGAGGCAGCAGUGAGGAAUAUUGGUCAAUGGACGAGAGUCUGAACCAGCCAAGUAGCGUGAAGGAUGACUGCCCUAUGGGUUGUAAACUUCUUUUAUAAAGGAAUAAAACGAGGCACGUGUGCCUUUUUGCAUGUACUUUAUGAAUAAGGAUCGGCUUACUCCGUGCCAGCAGCCGCGGUAAGACCGCGGAUCCGAGCGUUUUCCGGAUUUUUUGGGUUUAAAGGGAGCGUAGAUGGGUUGUUAAGUCAGUUGUGAAAGUUUGCGGCUCAACCGUAAAAUUGCAAUUGAUACUGGCAGUCUUGAGUACAGUUGAGGUAAGCGGAAUGCGUGGUGUAGCGGUGAAAUGCUUAGAUAUCACGAAGAACCCCGAUUGCGAAGGCAGCUUACUAAACUGUGACUGACAUUGAUGCUCGAAAGUGUGGGUAUCAAACAGGAUUAGAUACCCCAGUAGUC
rnacentral:rRNA from 1 species